UACAUAGGGUGCAAGCGUUGUCCGGAUUUAUUGGGCGUAAAGAGCUCGUAGGUGGCACAGUUAGUCAGAAGUUAAAACGCAGGGCUCAACUCUGCGUCGCUUUUGAUACUGCUGAGCUUGAGUAUGGCAGGGGAGAACGGAAUUCCACGUGUAGCGGUGAAAUGCGUAGAUAUGCGGAGGAACACCGAUGGCGAAGGCGGCUACCUGGCCUGAUACUGACACUGAGGCACGAAAGCGUGGGGAGCAAACAGG
rnacentral:rRNA from 1 species